rnacentral:rRNA from 1 species
GAAUGUUUGAACGCACCUUGCGCUCCUUGGUAUUCCGAGGAGCAUGCCUGUUUGAGUGUCAUUAAAUUCUCAACUGUUAUCAACUUUUGCUGAUAAUGGCUUGGAUGUGGGGGUUUAUUUUGCUGGCUUCUCAGAUAGUCAGCUCCCCUUAAAUGCAUUAGCCGGUGCCCCGCGUGGACUGUCUAUUGGUGUGAUAAUUAUCUACGCUAUGGACAUCUGCAAUCAUAUGGGUGUGCACUGCUUCCAACAGUCUGUUAAAGACAAUACAUGACAAUUUGACCUCAAAUCAGGUAGGACUACCCGCUGAACUUAAGCAUAUCAAUAAGCGGAGGAAAAGAAACUAACAAGGAUUCCCCUAGUAACUGCGAGUGAAGCGGGAAAAGCUCAAAUUUAAAAUCUGGCGGUCUCUGGCCGUCCGAGUUGUAAUCUAGAGAAGUGUUAUCCGCGCUGGACCGUGUACAAGUCUCCUGGAAUGGAGCGUCAUAGAGGGUGAGAAUCCCGUCUUUGACACGGACUGCCAGGGCUUUGUGAUGCGCUCUCAAAGAGUCGAGUUGUUUGGGAAUGCAGCUCAAAAUGGGUGGUAAAUUCCAUCUAAAGCUAAAUAUUGGCGAGAGACCGAUAGCGAACAAGUACCGUGAGGGAAAGAUGAAAAGAACUUUGGAAAGAGAGUUAAACAGUACGUGAAAUUGCUGAAAGGGAAACGCUUGAAGUCAGUCGCGUUGGCCGGGGAUCAACCUUGCUUUUGCUGGGCGUACUUUCCGGUUGACGGGUCAGGGAAGG